AGAGUUUGAUCAUGGCUCAGAGCGAACGCUGGCGGCAGGCUUAACACAUGCAAGUCGAGCGGGUGUAGCAAUACAUCAGCGGCAGACGGGUGAGUAACGCGUGGGAACGUACCUUUUGGUUCGGAACAACCCAGGGAAACUUGGGCUAAUACCGGAUAAGCCCUUACGGGGAAAGAUUUAUCGCCGAAAGAUCGGCCCGCGUCUGAUUAGCUAGUUGGUGAGGUAAUGGCUCACCAAGGCGACGAUCAGUAGCUGGUCUGAGAGGAUGAUCAGCCACAUUGGGACUGAGACACGGCCCAAACUCCUACGGGAGGCAGCAGUGGGGAAUAUUGGACAAUGGGGGCAACCCUGAUCCAGCCAUGCCGCGUGAGUGAUGAAGGCCCUAGGGUUGUAAAGCUCUUUUGUGCGGGAAGAUAAUGACGGUACCGCAAGAAUAAGCCCCGGCUAACUUCGUGCCAGCAGCCGCGGUAAUACGAAGGGGGCUAGCGUUGCUCGGAAUCACUGGGCGUAAAGGGUGCGUAGGCGGGUCUUUAAGUCAGGGGUGAAAUCCUGGAGCUCAACUCCAGAACUGCCUUUGAUACUGAGGAUCUUGAGUCCGGGAGAGGUGAGUGGAACUGCGAGUGUAGAGGUGAAAUUCGUAGAUAUUCGCAAGAACACCAGUGGCGAAGGCGGCUCACUGGCCCGGUACUGACGCUGAGGCACGAAAGCGUGGGGAGCAAACAGGAUUAGAUACCCCAGUAGUCC
rnacentral:rRNA from 1 species